rnacentral:rRNA from 1 species
ACGAACGCUGGCGGCAUGCCUCACCCAUGCAAGUCGCACGAGACCUUCGGGUCUAGUGGCGCACGGGUGCGUAACGCGUGGGAACCUGCCCUUAGGUUCGGAAUAACUCUCCGAAAGGGGUGCUAAUACCGGAUAAUGUCUUCGGACCAAAGAUUUAUCGCCUUUGGAUGGGCCCGCGUUGGAUUAGCUAGUUGGUAGGGUAAAAGCCUACCAAGGCGACGAUCCAUAGCUGGUCUGAGAGGAUGAUCAGCCACACUGGGACUGAGACACGGCCCAGACUCCUACGGGAGGCAGCAGUGGGGAAUAUUGGACAAUGGGCGAAAGCCUGAUCCAGCAAUGCCGCGUGAGUGAUGAAGGCCUUAGGGUUGUAAAGCUCUUUUACCCGGGAUGAUAAUGACAGUACCGGGAGAAUAAGCUCCGGCUAACUCCGUG